rnacentral:rRNA from 1 species
AUUCCAGCUCCAAUAGCGUAUAUUAAAGUUGUUGCAGUUAAAACGCUCGUAGUUGAAUUUCUGUGGAUAUCUGAGUUUGCAUACUCUUUGAGUAAAGCAGAUGCGGAUUCCACAUCCUUCUGGUGUUCUUUGCGGUGCUUAAUUGUAUCCGUAAUGAUUUCCAGAACGUUACUUUGAGAAAAUUAGAGUGUUUCAAGCAGGCUAGAGCCUUGAAUACUACAGCAUGGAAUAACAAUAUAGGACUUUGGUUCUACUUUGUUGGUUCUAGGACUAGAGUAAUGAUUAAUAGGGACAGUUGGGGGCAUUCGUAUUUAACUGUCAGAGGUGAAAUUCUUAGAUUUGUUAAAGACGGACUACUGCGAAAGCAUUUGCCAAGGAUGUUUUCAUCA